rnacentral:rRNA from 1 species
AUUGAACGCUGGCGGAAUGCUUUACACAUGCAAGUCGAACGGCAGCACGGACUUCGGUCUGGUGGCGAGUGGCGAACGGGUGAGUAAUACAUCGGAACGUGCCCAGUUGUGGGGGAUAACGUAGCGAAAGCUACGCUAAUACCGCAUACGAUCUAAGGAUGAAAGCGGGGAUCGCAAGACCUCGCGCGAUUGGAGCGGCCGAUGGCAGAUUAGGUAGUUGGUGGGGUAAAGGCUCACCAAGCCGACGAUCUGUAGCUGGUCUGAGAGGACGACCAGCCACACUGGGACUGAGACACGGCCCAGACUCCUACGGGAGGCAGCAGUGGGGAAUUUUGGACAAUGGGCGCAAGCCUGAUCCAGCCAUUCCGCGUGCAGGAUGAAGGCCCUCGGGUUGUAAACUGCUUUUGUACGGAACGAAAAGGCUCUGGUUAAUACCUGGGGCUCAUGACGGUACCGUAAGAAUAAGCACCGGCUAACUACGUGCCAGCCGCCGCAGUAA